AUACGGAGGAUGCGAGCGUUAUCCGGAUUUAUUGGGUUUAAAGGGAGCGUAGGCGGGAGCUUAAGUCAGCGGUUAAAUGGUGCGGCUCUACCGUGCCCUGCCGUUGAAACUGGGUUUCUUGAGAGUGCAAGAGGCGGAUGGAAUUCAUGGUGUAGCGGUGAAAUGCUUAGAUAUCAUGAAGAACACCGAUUGCGAAGGCAUCUCACGAAUCCGUCAUUGACGCUGAGGCACGAAAGCGUGGGGAUCAAACAGGAUUAGAUACCCUGGUAGUCCACGCAGUAAACGAUGAUGACUAACCGUCGGCGAUACACAGUCGGUGGCCAAGCGAAAGCGAUAAGUCAUCCACCUGGGGAGUACGUUCGCAAGAAUGAAACUCAAAUGAAUUGACGGGG
rnacentral:rRNA from 1 species